CUCCUCACAUUGUGAUCCACCCGCCUCGGCCUCCCAAAGUUCUGGGAUUACAAGCGUGAGCCACCGCGCCUGGCCGUGUGUUUGAGAUUCCUAGAGACAUUAGUAAAACCCUCCAAAAGAGUGGGGACCUUACACCAGCCUGCCGGUUCAAGCUCCAUACUGGACCUCCACCUCCCCAACCCCCACCCCCACCCCACCAGAAAAGGACCCUCCAUCCCCUUCAGGUCAUAGAGUGAGGAAGAGGGAAGCUUCAACAGGCCCAGAUGGCCCUGGUAAUGGGCACGGUGACAUUUGGGCAGAGAACCCCAGGGCCCUGCAUCUGCAGACCUGGGACAGGCAGAGAAUGUCCAAUGGGGGUGCUAGUGGCAUUGCCUGGCCAUGACUCUGUCCAGCUGUGGCAUCAUGUCCCAUGGCCAAAGUGUCCAAGCAAGCCUGCUUCUGCCAUUGACCUAGGGAGGCCUCUUGACACCUGCUCAUUUUCCAAGCCUGUUCCUCCUGCAUCCUCAAGAUUCGGAGUGCCCUCCAAAAUAAGAUCUUUUUCUGUAGUUGUUACUAUGGGUUAAGAACCCUCCUGUCUGAUACAUACAACUGAUUACAAACUUUUAAUUUUUGCCAAUCUGAUAAGCAAAAAAAAAGAAAGUAGUUCAUGGAUUUAGUUUACAUUUCCUUUUUAACAGGGAGGUUGGGUAGAGACUUCUUGGUUUGCUCAUGCCUGUAAUCCUAGCACUUUGGGAGGCUAAGGUAGGAAGAUCGCUUGAACUCAGGAAUUCAAGCCAACCUGGGCAACAUAGCAAGACCUCACCUCCACUAAAGGGAAAAAACAAUCCAUGUUCCUUUUCUUCCAACCCAACAGAUCUGUGGCUGGGCAGCAGCUGCUGAGCUCAACUACAAUUCCAGCCUGCUUUACAGUUAGGCUUGUCCACAGGACCAAGUUCUCAGUGACAGAAUCUCAUCCCAUCAGUUGAAGACCUUAAGAGAAAAGAGACUGACCUGCUCUGAGCAAGGAGGAAUUCUGCUGGCCAACUGCUUGUGAACUCCAACUUGUAAUAUCGGUCUCCAGCCUACCGGCUUACUCUGCAGAUUUUGGAUUUGCCAAGCCUCCACAACCGCAGAAGCCAAUUCCUUAAAAUGAAUCCCUUACAACAGUUCCCUAAAAUAAAUUCUUCAAAAUUCCUUAAAAUAAA